AAGAAGAAAGGCUAGACCACAUUUGGGUUCUAGCCCCAGGAAUCUUUGACAGGAAGCGCGGGUUGCUGCCUUGCCUCCCACGCAGAGUAUCUUUUGAUGCCCCCUCUUAUAUAUUGUAGACAGUGCUGAAUGGCUGAGAAGAAUCCCAGAGGACUCUUAAAAGGAAUUCUAGUAGAAAAUCCCUGCAGAAUCUGGAAUAACAGUUUGAAAGUUGGAGUAUUUUCUUCUUAUUCCUCAUUUAAGAGUGAGUAAUGGACAGAAAAAAAAGACAAAAGUAACAGGUAUUGAAAUGAUACUAUUGUCAUACAUUUACCAUAAUCAGUGGGAUAUCAAUUUGUAGGUUACAAGUAUUGUAAUUUGAAAAUGCCAAGAGUGUGGCCUAAAUUCUUAUUUGCACCUUUUCCUUUUCUUUCUUUCUCUUUAUUCAUUAAUUUAUUUUUUUUUGAGACA